rnacentral:tRNA from 1 species
UCCCUGGUGGUGCAGUUGGCUAGUGCACAGUACUCCUAUGGUAGUGUAGGCAGAGUAAUACUGAGGUUGUGAGUUCGAGUCUCACCUGGAGUA